rnacentral:rRNA from 1 species
AACCAACUGGGAUUACCUUAGUAACGGCGAGUGAAGCGGUAAAAGCUCAAAUUUGAAAUCUGGUACUUUCAGUGCCCGAGUUGUAAUUUGUAGAAUUUGUCUUUGAUUAGGUCCUUGUCUAUGUUCCUUGGAACAGGACGUCAUAGAGGGUGAGAAUCCCGUUUGGCGAGGAUACCUUUUCUCUGUAAGACUUUUUCGAAGAGUCGAGUUGUUUGGGAAUGCAGCUCAAAGUGGGUGGUAAAUUCCAUCUAAAGCUAAAUAUUGGCGAGAGACCGAUAGCGAACAAGUACAGUGAUGGAAAGAUGAAAAGAACUUUGAAAAGAGAGUGAAAAAGUACGUGAAAUUGUUGAAAGGGAAGGGCAUUUGAUCAGACAUGGUGUUUUUGCAUGCACUCGCCUCUCGUGGGCUUGGGCCUCUCAAAAAUUUCACUGGGCCAACAUCAAUUCUGGCAGCAGGAUAAAUCAUUAAGAAUGUAGCUACUUCGGUAGUGUUAUAGCUUUUUGGAAUACUGUUAGCCGGGAUUG